rnacentral:lncRNA from 1 species
GUGAUUGGCUAAGGUUAUUUUUAAACCUAAUUCUAGAUAACUCAGAGAAGUGCUGUUCUAUAUUCCACAUGGUAAUCUCAGCAACAUUUGGCAUCGAGGAUUUAUUGCAUACCAUAACUCUGGCUUCACUGUGAAUCUCUUUUACCAUCAAAACACUGAAAAUAGAACCUCGAAGCAAAGGGACGGCCAUGCUAUUUUUCAUUAGAAAGAUCACACCUUAUGCAUUCAGGAGUUCUCUGUUGCAUGAUAUAAUUUGUUUGCUUACUUGUUUAUUGAGGAAAACGUCUUUGCAUCCGUGAAGCUUUGAUGUAAUUGACCACCUCCAUCUCAGAUGUUAGGUUCUGUCGUUGUUGAAACCACCCUAUGUGUAAGUUUCUGGGAAAUUCUUGGGAGAACUCUGUAUUCGUUUAACUUGAUGACAAAACAGCAACAUGCUAAAUAAUGUGAUUAAAGUUGUUAAAAGGACUAAUCUAUGCCAAUUAUUCCACAUAAACGGAUUUGCCAAAAAAGAGGCCCGUAGAGAGAGAGUAAGCUUGCCUUUACAAGAGACUUCAUAACAUAUCUCACAGCUAUAAAAUAGAUCUGUGGCACGUAUGCUGUUCUUCUGAAAUUCAUUGAGAAAAGUGCCUGAACAUUAUGAUACUUCUGGGUGAGUAGAGAAAGACAGAUGUGCUUUUUACCUUAUUCCAAAUACAAGAUGCUACAUAUUUAUGAAAUAAGCCUUUAAAGCAUGGAAGAUAAUUUCCUGGUUAAUAACUUACUGACUUAAAGUAGUCCAUCUAAAAGGCGAUAUCUUGGUGUUAUGCUUAAGAUUUGCCUCAUUCCACAGUCAGGUUGGACGGAUACUUCCCAUUGUGCUAUAAUUCCCAGAGGUGGCAGAGUUGGAUCUUCUCUCUUCAACUUCUUUUUCCAUGAAGAGUAUAAAGAGAUGAGUCAUAGGGUCAGAGUUCUCUGUCUCUAAUAAUUUGGGAGGAAGUCAAUAAUAAAUAAGAUAUAGGGAGUGCAAACUUAGCAUCAUAUUGUACCAACCAGUAAUUAAAUAAACAGUAGUCACAACCAGAAGUUAAUAUGUAGGUUUGUUUGUUUUUUAAAAAAGCACCCAGUGUAUAAGUGGUGGGAGUUUAUGCAUUAAGUUAACGAAUAUUUAUUAAGUGCUUGAUAUGUGGUAGGCACUGUGAUAAAGACUGGGGAUAUAAAGGUAGACCAGAUUUUCAAGGAAGAUAGAGAAAUAAACAAUUAUUUACACCUGUUACUCUGGAGACUGACAAGGGCCAAGCUAAGGAAGUACAUGUGCUGAGGUGGUAACCUGUGGUUAUUACCUACCCCACAGCUGGUGCUCAGCCACAAAGAGAGAUGUGAAUAUUACAUUUCUAUCACAAUUGGCAUAUAUGGAUUUUUUUAAAGACAUAAGAAGAGGAAAAAUCUAUUGCUUUGAUUGAAAGAUUGGAUGUGUUUUUAGGAAAAUUGAGUAGGGAGGUCCAUUUCUUUCCUUUGAAAAUUUAUUUGCGGUCAAUUUAUUAUGAUACUUCAAACCAUUUAGCCAUAGCAAAGAGCAGGUGUGUAGAAACUCUACAAAACCUCGACGAAUCCUGUGGUCCCCUGAAAAAGGCCUGUGUCUUAUCUGAUGAACACUGCUCAGGCUCAAGUCUCUUGAGCGUCAAAACUGCUCAAGCAAGGGGGAAAUCCAGAUUUUAUAUCUCCUUCCACUUGAAUUUCUGGAUAAGAAUGAGAGAAAUCCGCAAAAUCCAGUUACGUUAAAUAGCUUUUACGAGUAUCUUUUUGGAAUGCUGUCAGUUGUAACUUCGUUUUGUCUGCCAGGUAUAAGCAUGGAAGAUUCAAGCUGCUCCUGGCUGUAAGAAGUUAAUGUGGAAUUUUGAAUUGGGCUACAAAAAUUAGCUCCCACUGGUGGAAACAACUUUCUUUUUAGUAUGAGAAGUUGUUUGAAGCUUUUUUCUCCCCCAAAGUCUCAUCGUGAUCAGGCUUUAAUAUUGCUCUCAAACCAACCUUUAAUUUAAUAAGCAGAGUAAUUUUGUUCAGGAAAAUUUUCCAUGACAUUUGUUGAAUUAAAUGUACAUACUCAGU